rnacentral:rRNA from 1 species
ACAGCAGCAGCCACGGUAAUACAGAGGGUGCGAGCGUUAAUCGGAUUUACUGGGCGUAAAGCGUGCGUAGGCGGCUUCUUAAGUCGGAUGUGAAAUCCCUGAGCUCAACCUGGGAAUGGCAGUGGAUACUGGCUCGCUAGAGUGUGUCAGAGGAUGGUGGAAUUCCCGGUGUAGCGGUGAAAUGCGUAGAGAUCGGGAGGAACAUCAGUGGCGAAGGCGGCCAUCUGGGACAACACUGACGCUGAGGCACGAAAGCGUGGGGAGCAAACAGGAUUAGAUACCCGCGUAGUCCCUGUCUCUUAUAC